rnacentral:rRNA from 1 species
GUGGGGAAUAUUGGGCAAUGGGCGAAAGCCUGACCCAGCAACGCCGCGUGAAGGAAGAAGGCCUUCGGGUUGUAAACUUCUUUUAUGAGGGACGAAGGACGUGACGGUACCUCAUGAAUAAGCCACGGCUAACUACGUGCCAGCAGCCGCGGUAAUACGUAGGUGGCAAGCGUUGUCCGGAUUUACUGGGUGUAAAGGGCGCGUAGGCGGACUGGCAAGUCAGAUGUGAAAUCCAUGGGCUCAACUCAUGAACUGCAUUUGAAACUGUUGGUCUUGAGUGUCGGAGAGGAGAGCGGAAUUCCUAGUGUAGCGGUGAAAUGCGUAGAUAUUAGGAGGAACACCAGUGGCGAAGGCGGCUUGCUGGACGAUAACUGACGCUGAGGCGCGAAAGCGUGGGGAGCAAACAGGAUUAGAAACCCCAGUAGUCC